rnacentral:rRNA from 1 species
GACGAACGCUGGCGGCGUGCUUAACACAUGCAAGUCGAGCGGUAAGGCCCUUUCGGGGGUACGACGAGCGGCGAACGGGUGAGUAACACGUGGGUGACCUGCCCUUAGCUCUGGGAUAAGCCUGGGAAACUGGGUCUAAUACCGGAUAUGACUCCAUAACGCAUGUUGUGGGGUGGAAAGCCUUGUGCGGCUAGGGAUGGGCCCGCGGCCUAUCAGCUUGUU